rnacentral:rRNA from 1 species
AUUGAACGCUGGCGGCAUGCCUUACACAUGCAAGUCGAACGGUAACGCGCCUUCCGUUGCCGUCUGGUGUCGAACGGGGGCGUAAUACUUCCGAACGUGCCCCCUCGUUGUAGAUCUCGGAGCACAAGCUUUACUAAUACCUCAUACGAUCUACUGUUUAGAGCCGCGUACCGCAAGACCUAUCGCGGGCCUUGCGGCCACUUGCAGAUUAGGUAGUUGGUGGGUUAAAAGCUUACCAAGGCAACGAUCUGUAGCUGAACUGAGAGGAUGAUCAGCCACACUGGGACUGAGACACGGCCCAGACUCCUACGGGAGGCAGCAGUGGGGAAUCUUGGACAAUGGGCGAAAGCCUGAUGCAGCAACGCCGCGUGAAGGAUGAAGGCCUUCGGGUUGUAAAAUGCUUUUGUAAGGAAAGAAAAGACUUGUUUUAAUACAGGAGGGUCAUGACGGUACCGAAAGAAUAAGCAACGGCUAACUACGUG